rnacentral:tRNA from 1 species
GCCCCCAUCGUCUAGCGGCCUAGGACGGUUCCUUCUCAAGGAACAAAUCGCGGGUUCGAAUCCCACUGGGGGUA